rnacentral:lncRNA from 1 species
CAUUAUUUUAUAAAAAAAAAUUAAUAAUAUUUUGAUACGAAUUGUCUGAGCUAUUCAAUUUAGAGGUGGAAAUGCACUUGGGUUGUUACUGUUCACUAAAGUCAAUUACCAUUCACUUGGGGGGACUGAAUUGCUUAUUGCCCUAGGGGCUUUUUGGGGUGGAAAUGCUCUUAUCUCUCUCAUCCUUCUUCUUUGUCCAUCUCUCUCCUAUUUUUUCUUCAUACUUCUCAAUCCCUCCUCUUCGUCUCCGUAUUGUUUCCUAGAUUUAUGAGUUUUUCUUUUCUUUUCUAAGAAUGAUUGAGAUUUUUUAUUAUUGGUUUUUUAUUUCAAUAAUUUUUUUUAAGUAUUUGAUUUGGAGGUUUUGAUUAAUUUGAAUGCAUGAAUUUUGAAACUAAUCUUGCAAAAUUACAAAAAAUUUGAAACUAAUCUUGUAGAAACGCUGAAAUUUUGAAACUGAUUUUGCAGAAGUGUUAAAAAUUUUGAAACUAAUAUUGCAUAAGUGCUAGAAUUUUGAAACUGAUCUUGCAGAAGUGCUGGAAUUAUGAAAUUGGUCUUGCAGAAGUAUUGAAAUUUUGAAACUGAUGCAUGAGCUAAAAUGUUUCAAACUGAUUUUUGCAACAGUGCUUAAAUUUUGGAAAUGCUUAAAUAUUGAAACUGAUCUUGCACUAGGAUUUUAAAAUUGAUCUUGCACUAGAGUUUUAUAACUGAUCUUGCACUGGAAUUUUGAAACUGAUCUUGCACUAUAAUUAUGAAAUUUGAUCUUACAGAAGUGCAAAAAAUUCUAAAACUAAUCUUGCAGAAACGCAUGAAUUGUGAAACUAAUCUUAUUGAAGCUAACGUUUACAAAUCCCAAAUCAGUUUGAAGUUUUUAUAUAUGGUGUUAGUGUGUAGUUUUGGUUAAUUAAGUACAAGUCUUUGUCUAUUAGGGGCAUGGCUAAAAAUUUUAAAUCUUGGUUUGCUUGUUUUUUGGUCUCAGUUUGUUGGGGUUUGAGUUUUUGUCUAUCCUUGAAAAUAAUUCAAAAUAAUUCAAAAUUAGUGGGAUUCUAUAAAAUGUAUUUUGUGUGUUUUCUAUAGGUAAAGCUCCCUUAAGUUUAUAUAAAAUUAUUUUUAACUUUAAUCUUAAAUGAACCAUUUUGUAUAAUUUUUUAACCUUAAGUGUACUACUUUUUUUUUUUUUUGAAUAAACGAUAUUAUAUACACUAAGGGGGAAGGGGAAGGGGUGGACUUAGCCUCACAAUGGGCUAACAAUAAUGUGUUCAAAUUCACCUUUGGCGAGAAUUGAACCUAAGACAUCUCACUUACAAGUGAAGAGGAAGUGUACUACUUCUUAAAUAUACUAAUUUGUUAUAAUGUGCAAUGUAGCCUUUAUUUUUAUGUAAAACCCGUUCACUUUUUUUCUAAUCUAUUUUUUUAAGUUAUAUGGGUACGUUCUUUUUCAUUGAUUUGAGAAUGUAACUAUGUCAAGUUUAUUUAAAGAAAUUUACAACUGUUAUUAAGACUAAUAUUUUUUUUUUUUUGUGGUUUUGAAAAAUGUACCCCUGUUUUGGGUCUGAAGAAUCUACCACACGUUUUAUGGUAAUAUUAUUUUUUUAUUAAUUUUGAUGAAUGUACCCUAUAUGUUUUAUAUAUAUGUAUAGUAUACAAUAUGUUUUAUAUAGUAUACAAUAAGUUUUAUAUAUAUGUACAUGCAUUGUAUGGCAAAACAUGAUAUUUUAUAUAUAGUAUACAAUAUGUUUUUUAUAUAUGUACAUACAUUGUAUGGCAAAACAUGAUCUAUUUUUUUUAUUGAUUUUGCUUUCACGGUGGGGAGGAUAAUUUAUCUUUAUCAUUUUCAAUCCCACAAUUAUGGGUUUUAUUUAGAAUCUCAUUAAUAUAAGCAACUACAAAUUUCAAUUUUCAAGUUCAAAUAUAAUAACCGACAUGGAAAUACAUUAAUACAUUAAUGUAAGGAACUUCAAUAAAAAUUGAAACCCAAUAAAGUUUUAGUCAAAGUAUAUCAAUAGCUAGGGACCGCAUUUAAAAUCUCCCAAAAAAAAAUUAGAAAAAUAAGAUUAGACACAAUCAGGAUCCAAAGGAAGAGCUUUGAGCAUAUAUACUGAAAUCUUAUUCAUAACACAAUUCAUAAGUCUGAUAGGAGAUAAAGAAAUUAUCUAAACUUGUUGACUUGAGCUUACUCAAGUUGACUAUAGCAAUAUCAGUGUAUUUUUCUCAAUGCACCUAAGUUUGAAUAUCUCUCUUUGUGGUUUAGAUUAUCCUAUUGUUUGUCAUAAAUUAUCUAAUUGUAGCUAUCUUGGUAACUACGUUCCUUUGAUGAGUUAUUUGCAUUAAUUCUGAGUUUUGUAUAUGCCUCUUUGAAAUCUAAGAGUAAAAUGAAUAAUGCUCCAGCCAAACCGAAGUUUCUCUUGUAAAAAAUUUAAUAGGUAACCUUAUCAUAAAUAACUUAGCACCAACUCCCCCAAGAAGAGGAGGGGGAAUUUUUGCAUUCAAAGUUUAGCUUCCUACAGCCGAACUCCAACUAGCAUUUGCAUAACAAUUUAUAUCUAAAAUGUAUUCAAUUAAAACCAUGAUUCAGUUAGGGCUCUAAGGCCCAAUAAAAAACUAGUUGCAAAUGAGUCGGGCCUAAAUACUAUCUAAUCCAUGAUCAACAGAAGCAAGCCCACACUCAACAAAACUCAUGGCCCAAGGAAUUUUUUCACCUCGCCAAUACUCGUAUUCAAUUAAAUUUUUGAUGGAUUUAUAAAUUCAUGGACUUUAAUAGAGCUUAAUUGAUUUGUAGAGAUUUCAUGUAAAUUUGUGAUUUAAUUCCCUUGAAAUCUCAGGAGAAAGGUAAUAUUUGUGAAUGCUUAAAAUACACUACGAAAUCGAAAUCUCUCUAAUUGCCUCAAAUUCUUCAACUUUUUAAAAAAAAAUAUUAAUUGAAUACACCUUGAUCGUUAAACUUCUUUAAAUAUACCCACACUUAUAAUGAUUUCAAUAAUAUAUUUUAAAAUAUUGAUUGAAUACACAUUGAAUUUCAAAAAAAAUCACAUAAAAUUCUGAUUGAAUACUCUAGAUUUAUUAAAGAACCUCAAAAUUCCAAUUGAAUGCACCCCCUCCCCCUUAGGUUCGUCUUUCUUUCUUCUCCUCCUUCGUCUUUCUCUCUCCUACCUACUUCUUCCUAUUAUUUUCCUAGAUUUAUGAGUGUUUUUUUUCAUUAUAAGAACCAUUGGAAUUUUUAUUUUUGAUUCUAGUAUUUCUUGAAGGUUUUCUUAUUUUGAAGUUUUGAUGAUUUGGAUGUGUGAAUUUUGAAAUUGAUUUUACAAAAAUGCAAAAAUUUUGAAACUGAUCUUGCAUAAGUGCUAGAAUUUUGAAAUUGAUCUUCCAAAAAUACAAGAAUUUUGAAACUGACCUUGCAGGAGUGCUGAAAUUUUGAAGUUGAUCUUCCAAAAAUACAGGAAUUUUGAAAUUGACCUUGCAGAAUUGCUAGAGUUUUGAAACUGAUAUUACAAAAAGUGCACGUAUACUAGAAUUGUGAAAGAUCUUGAAAAGUACAAAAAAAAAAAAUUUAAAAUUAAGUUGAUCUUGCAAAAGUGCAUGUUGUGAAAGAUCUUGCAGAAGUGCAAAAAAUUUUGAAAUUGAUCUUGCAAAAAAUAGUUUUUACGGAUUGAAAAUAAGUUUGAAGUAGGACUCUGUUUCAGAUGGAACGGAUCGUAAACAAGAGUUCCAAAUUCCAUCCCGAAAUGUUUGGAAUUUAAUUUAGCUUCCAAUUCCGACCCAAAAUUUUUCAAAUUUAAUAUUAGCUUCCGAUUCCAAUUCGACAUUUUUCAGAAAUUAACUGAUUAUUCCAAAACGGAAUUCUUGGAGUUUAAUUUUAGCUUUCGUCCAAUUCGAAAAUUUGCAAAAUGAAAUGAUUAUUCCGGAUGUUAUGUCCGAAAAAUGAAAAUUUUCGAAAUUUCCAAAAAUCUAAAAGUGCUGCAGUCAUAUUUAGAAUAGGAAUGUGAUUGUGUAAAUCCUAUGGAAUCUGGGAAUGUAUCUUAUAUUCCUAUUAGGACUAGAUUACCUAUUAAAUGUUGUAAUCCUAAAAGGAAAUGUUUUACCAUUUCUACUACUAUAAAUAAAGGCAUAAUGAGGUGAAUCAAACAUACCUCACAAUUAAAUUAAUCUCUCUUCUCCCUAAAGUUUGCCGCACC